CGCUUGCCGUGUCAAGCCGAGGCCACCACGGACAACUUGUGUCGUUGCCGUCAUCCUCGCGUUGUCGUCGUUUUUAGACGAGCCUUUAGCAUGUUGAUGCACCCAGUAUGGUUCGGGGUGCCCGGAAGCUGACUUUUGGUGAAGUAGAUUGACCCCAGCCUGACAUCUUUUUGUAGACUUUUAUGGAAAUGCCCGAAAUGGGCUUGUAAAAAAAUGUUCCCAGGGGUUAAUCAAGUAAAUGUUAAAAUGGUGUUUUAAUUUCAAUGUUGUGAA